CACUGUGCUAUGUACUCUUGUCCUCAGACACAAGGUCCAGCUUUUCUUCCAGAAGAGUUUACAGUGUAGGUGGGAGAGCACCUGACACCUCACCUGACACCUGACAGCAGUUCCAGAGGCUGCCCUGCUGAAGUCGGAUCCCUGACUGGCUACGCAACUCUGCCCCGUCCCUGUCCAGCCCUAGGCUCUACUUUCCUGACUCAGAGCAUUCGAUGCCUUGGUUGUUUGUAUAUAUUGAGAAUUUGAAUGUGUUGGAGCAGAAUAUUGUGGUGGGGACAAAACUCGACGGGGAAAACUGGGAUGAGUUGAUAGGGAGGAGUUUUGUUGCCUUCGUACUAACCUGGACAUAUUAAUCUGAGACGAGGCCUUGGGUGCUGGUAGUUCAUCUAUGAAGGGAUCCAGGACACCAGAAUAAGGAAGUAGAGAAGUGGAACAGGGAAUGGUGGAAAGCCAGUGUAAAAGGAGGCCUCUGCCCCAGGGAGAAUUCUCAGCAUUGUGUGACAAUGUAAGGAAUGCCAACAGAAAGAAUAACUACAUGAUCGAGAACAGGUGAUGAAUAUUCUUCCAAAAGAAGCCUUUGCAGAAUAUAUGACCUCUCUUUAAGCUUCUGCCUGGCUAAGACGCUACACCAUAUUUUUCUUCGCAGAAUAGAUGUACACAUCUUCCUUCCAGAGUAUGUCAUUAACCUACCUUUGGCUUACCCUCGGUAUUUUACUUUUUUCUUCUCCUUAUUUAUUAGUAGUUGGAUUUGUAUUUUUAGAUUGCCAGGAAACUGGUGUUUAUAUUCAAUAUGAUAUUGUCUUUAUUAAUAUACUUAUAAACUUAACAGUCAAUUUGACUUGCCACCAGUCAUGUCCUAUAAAUCAUAAUCCUUUGCUCAAAUGUGUAGGACUGUCUAAUUCCAUUAUCUCUGAGCGUUCACUUUAGAAAGUGAAACUGAUGCUCUAUAAUGUGUACUAUUCCUUCCUACCUACUUAGCUUCUUCUUUUGAAGUUCUCAGGAGGGUGAUGCAUUAAUUUUGGAGCAUUCUAACAUACACUGUGUAACAGAUAUGUUAUAUAAUAUCACUCCCAGCAUUCUCAAUCUUUCUAUUAUAGUGUUGAAAUCAAUAUUUGACUAACAUUUAUUUAAAAGUUACGUAAGGCCCUUAAAACAGUUAAAGAGAUAAAAACAUUAACAGUUCCUGCAAAUAGCAAUCAAAAUUGCUCUCUAAAAAAGGUUGCAUGAUUAUUUCCAAGGACAUGUUUAUUAGUAACCAUUAGCAUAGGUAGUUGCAUCUUUAAAUAAGUGUCAUCUUGUAUUACUGGAGAGUAAAAUUUAAAGGAAAUUAUGGGCUUUUCAAACUACUCCAUGUCCCUGUUGGAAUAUAAAAACACAUUCCUGAACAACCAUAGCAUUUCCAUAAGCCAAUAAAAUGAUGACUCAGAAGGUGAAAUACUCUAGACCACAAACCACUUACAUAUGAAUAUUUUAAAAUUAUGUAAAAGUCCUAUUUUGAAAGCAUUCAUAUAAUCAAGAAAAUAAAUGUAUUGUGCAAAAGUCAUUUAACCCCUGAAAUGUCUGAAGGCAAUUCAUUGAUUUCAUGAAAUACUGUUCUAAAGGAGAUUUUUAGUUUUCCGACAGAUUUAUUAUAAUGACUUUAAACAUUCUUUGGGGUUCACUUUCUUUGAUGUCUUAAUGCAGAAAAGAAUUAUAUAUAAGGACUUUUUGCUAGUAUGCAUUCUAUGACAUUGCUUGCAGUUCUCUGAUGAGCAAAUAGUGUAUCUCACUUCAGCCAUGUUAGUGGCCACUUAACAAGGCUCUGAAGAGUGUGGCCUGGUCCCCGGUUAUUUCUAUGGUCUAAUAUCUGGUCCAAAUUUUUAUACAUUUGAUUCUGUUAAUUACGUGGACAGAGGACUUGAGUGAAGAGCAACACCAGAUGAAAAGAAUGGACUAUGUUGCGGUUGACUCGGUGGACUCAGCAGAAGGUGAUGAAAACACUGAAAUGGCAGCAGAGGUCCAAAAACAGCAAUCUACAGCACUCCAUGUAACUAUCUCUAUUGAGUUGUUACUCAAUACAAACUGAUGAAUGAUCUUGGUAAUUACAAUAAACUGUGAUCUUCAAGUGUGAAAAUAUGUAUUGUGGAUGACAAAGAUACACUUAGUUCAUUCUUUUGUAGCUACUGAAAUCUUAAAUAAAAUUAAUUUCUGCACUGAA